UUCAAGUAAAGUAGGUUAGUAGGAUC
rnacentral:miRNA from 1 species